AGCACCACCUGCGCAUCCGGGGGGUGACGCUGGAGGACGACGACGUUUUCCAGUGCCAGGUGGGGGAGGGGAACGGCACCCGGCCCCGCGCCUCCCGCCCCGCCCAGCUCACCGUGCUGGUGCCGCCGGGUGCCCCCACCCUGGAGCUGCCCCCGGGGGGCGGAGCUGCCGUGGGUGGGCGGGGCCGAGGUGCACGUGCGCUGCCACGCCCCCGACGCGCGCCCCCCCGCGCGCCUCAGCCUCACUCUGGGGGGGGAGCCGCUGCCCGACGUCUCCACCCGCGUCUUCGAGGGCUCCCACCCCAAACUCAGCUCCAGCGAGGCCACCGCC